rnacentral:rRNA from 1 species
GACGAAGGUGGCGAGCGUUGUUCGGAAUCACUGGGCAUAAAGCGCACGUAGGCGGCGACGUAAGUUGGGUGUGAAAUCCCUCGGCCCAACCGAGGAACUGCGCCCAGUACUGCGUUGCUUGAGGAUCCAAGGGGUGCAUGGAAUUCCCCGGUGGAGCGGUGAAAUGCGUUGAUAUCGGGAGGAACACCGAUGGCGAAGGCAGGUCACUGGGCCGCAACUGAC